AGAGCGAACGCUGGCGGCAGGCCUAACACAUGCAAGUCGAGCGCCCGUAGCAAUACGGGAGCGGCAGACGGGAUAGUAACACGUGGGAACGCGCCCUUCGGUUCGGAAUAACUCAGGGAAACUUGAGCUAAUACCGAAUACGCCCUUACGGGGAAAGAUUUAUUGCCGAAGGAACGGCCCGCGUCCGAUUAGCUAGUUGGUGAGGUAAUGGCUCACCAAGGCUACGAUCGGUAGCUGGUCUGAGAGGAUGACCAGCAUCACUGGGACUGAGACACGGCCCAGACUCCUACGGGAGGCAGCAGUGGGGAAUAUUGGACAAUGGGCGAAAGCCUGAUCCAGCCAUGCCGCGUGGAUGAUGAAGGCCUUAGGGUUGUAAAGUCCUUUUAACGGGGAAGAUAAUGACGGUACCGUAGAAUAAGCCCCGGCUAACUUCGUCGCCAGCAGCCGC
rnacentral:rRNA from 1 species